UACCCUGGUAGUCCACGCCGUAAACGAUGAGUGCUAAGUGUUAGGGGGUUUCCGCCCCUUAGUGCUGCAGCUAACGCAUUAAGCACUCCGCCUGGGGAGUACGGUCGCAAGACUGAAACUCAAAGGAAUUGACGGGGGCCCGCACAAGCGGUGGAGCAUGUGGUUUAAUUCGAAGCAACGCGAAGAACCUUACCAGGUCUCGACAUCCCGCUGACCGGCCUAGAGAUAGGCUUUUCCCUUCGGGGACAGCGGUGACAGGUGGUGCAUGGUUGUCGUCAGCUCGUGUCGUGAGAUGUUGGGUUAAGUCCCGCAACGAGCGCAACCCUUGAUCUUAGUUGCCAGCAUUCAGUUGGGCACUCUAAGGUGACUGCCGGUGAUAAACCGGAGGAAGGUGGGGAUGACGUCAAGUCCUCAUGGCCCUUAUGGGUAGGGCUUCACACGUCAUACAAUGGUACAUACAGAGGGCCGCCAACCCGCGAGGGGGAGCUAAUCCCAGAAAGUGUAUCGUAGUCCGGAUUGUAGUCUGCAACUCGACUGCAUGAAGUUGGAAUCGCUAGUAAUCGCGGAUCAGCAUGUCGCGGUGAAUACGUUCCCGGGUCUUGUACACACCGCCCGUCACACCAUGGGAGCGGGUUUUACCAGAAGUAGGUAGCUUAACCGCAAGGAGGGCGCUUACCACGGUAGGAUUCGUGACUGGGGUG
rnacentral:rRNA from 1 species